rnacentral:rRNA from 1 species
GUGGGGAAUCUUGCGCAAUGGGCGAAAGCCUGACGCAGCCAUGCCGCGUGAAUGAUGAAGGUCUUAGGAUUGUAAAAUUCUUUCACCGGGGACGAUAAUGACGGUACCCGGAGAAGAAGCUCCGGCUAACUUCGUGCCAGCAGCCGCGGUAAUACGAAGGGGGCUAGCGUUGCUCGGAAUUACUGGGCGUAAAGGGCGCGUAGGCGGACAGUUUAGUCAGAGGUGAAAGCCCAGGGCUCAACCUUGGAAUUGCCUUUGAUACUGGCUGUCUUGAGUUUGGGAGAGGUGAGUGGAACUCCGAGUGUAGAGGUGAAAUUCGUAGAUAUUCGGAAGAACACCAGUGGCGAAGGCGACUCACUGGCCCAAUACUGACGCUGAGGCGCGAAAGCGUUGGGAGCAAACAGGAUUAGAUACCCUAGUAGUCC